rnacentral:rRNA from 1 species
UACGGAGGGUGCGAGCGUUGUCCGGAAUCACUGGGCGUAAAGGGCGCGUAGGUGGCGCGGGAAGUCAACGGUGAAAGUUCGGGGCUCAACCCUGAAUCGGCCGUCGAUACUCUCGGGCUCGAGCUUACUAGAGGCAGAUGGAAUUCCGGGUGUAGCGGUGGAAUGCGUAGAGAUCCGGAAGAACACCGGUGGCGAAGGCGGUCUGCUGGGGUAAUGCUGACACUGAUGCGCGACAGCGUGGGGAGCAAACAGG